rnacentral:rRNA from 1 species
UUAGUGGCGAACGGGUGAGUAACACGUGGGCAAUCUGCCCUGCACUCUGGGACAAGCCCUGGAAACGGGGUCUAAUACCGGAUACGACCACUGAGGGCAUCCUCGGUGGUGGAAAGCUCCGGCGGUGCAGGAUGAGCCCGCGGCCUAUCAGCUUGUUGGUGGGGUGAUGGCCUACCAAGGCGACGACGGGUAGCCGGCCUGAGAGGGCGACCGGCCACACUGGGACUGAGACACGGCCCAGACUCCUACGGGAGGCAGCAGUGGGGAAUAUUGCACAAUGGGCGAAAGCCUGAUGCAGCGACGCCGCGUGAGGGAUGACGGCCUUCGGGUUGUAAACCUCUUUCAGCAGGGAAGAAGCGAAAGUGACGGUACCUGCAGAAGAAGCGCCGGCUAACUACGUGCCAGCAGCCGCGGUAAUACGUAGGGCGCGAGCGUUGUCCGGAAUUAUUGGGCGUAAAGAGCUCGUAGGCGGCUUGUCACGUCGGUUGUGAAAGCCCGGGGCUUAACCCCGGGUCUGCAGUCGAUACGGGCAGGCUAGAGUUCGGUAGGGGAGAUCGGAAUUCCUGGUGUAGCGGUGAAAUGCGCAGAUAUCAGGAGGAACACCGGUGGCGAAGGCGGAUCUCUGGGCCGAUACUGACGCU